CAGUAGCCACUAGAGGAGCUUGCUAUUUCUUCCAAGGGCAAUAGGGAGGUGACACAUGGCCAGUGUACAUUUUGAAAACUGGAGAGGAGGAGGGUAAGUGUGGGUCAUGAGCUUUGGCAAUUGUCCCAAGAAACCCUCAAAGUCACAGUUACUUCCUGUCCCUGGGAGGAAGUGGAAGGAGCUUUCCUAGGGAGGGCUGGCUUCCAGGGAGUUCCAUGUGUUUAUGCCUGUACGUGAGUAUGCACCUGUUUGUCAGUGUGUGGGUGCACACUGCAUGCACGUAGAUGUGUGCGCAGAGGGUGUCUCAGCUCUAGCAGCAGGGUGUGCAGUGGGGACCAAGGUCAUGAAGACUUUCCUCCUCCCAGCCUGUGUGGUCUAGCUCCUCUUUCUCCUGGGGUGAUAAGUGCUGUGCCAGGUGGGGGAGACAUGGAUGGAGAGGACAGCCAUUUCUGCAUGCAGCUGCAGACCAAGGCACAGCCAGUAUCGUGUGUCCCUUGGCCCCACUCUGGAGUGCAUGCCUCCUCUGGGAUCAUUGUGGGAAGAAGGGGCCCAAGAAGGUGGGGUGAAGUGUGUGCAUCCGGGGAGGGAAUGCCUAGCCCCUGGAGGACUUCGGUCAGACCCUCAUCUCUUGGUUUUAGCCUCUUCCUGCUGUCCACCCCCUCCCCCCAAUUAAGCAGUGCCUCCUCUCAGUGCCGGCAUAAAUGAACCAGAACAUACCCUUGGUGUGCGGCUCUUUUCUUGGCUCCCACCCUACUUUGAGGGACAGAUCCUUCGGGUCUGGCCAGCACUGCCUGACAUCUGGACUCUUCCUUAGACCGGGCCUGGCUGUUUUGUCCUGAUUUCUGACUUGUUUCCUUCCUCAACACAGCUUUGCCUGUGAGUUCCUGGUUUCUGUAGACAGGCCCCAAGGCCCCAGCUUCCUGUUCUCAGCAAGGCGCCCUUGACAUUCCGGGCCUCAGAACAUCCUUGAGAUAUUGAGUCAGAGCCACGGUCCUGGUCAGGGCCGCUCACGUUAGAGCACCCUGUGGCCGGGCACCGAUUCCUUUGCUUUAUGGCCUUACAUUCCGUGAUCUGCAGGAUCACCACACUCCACAGGGAGAACACCCUGCGCCACUCUGUGCUGGGUGGCACAACAUUGCAGUACCCAUGUCUGUCACAAGAGUGGGCAGGAGCAGAUAGGUUACUCCUGGCCAUGGGUCCCCUUCAGCAGCAGCAGCGGCAGUACAUGGGAGGUGCAAACCAGUUUCAAACUCCCUGAAUCCCAAGCCCUAACCUGGAGGCCACAUGGCUUCCCAGAGUCCCAGGUCACCCAAGAUCCACUCAGGAAGGGAUGAAGAAUCCAAAAUGGAAGGUCCCUUUCUUCAAGUAGAAGAUCAUCUUUCAUUUUUUCUUUUCUUUUUGGUUUUUGUUGUUGUUGCUUUGUGGUUUUUUUGUUUUUGUUUUUGUUUUUUUUUAAAGACAGUUUCUCUGUGCAGCCCUCAUUCCUCACUCUGUAGAUCAGGCUGGCCUCAAACUCAGAGAUCCGCCUGCCUCUGCCUCCUGAACGCUGCGCCAACCGCUGUCCGACUUAUCCGUGUCAUUUUUAAAGGCAGGCAACAUAUGGGUGAUGGUAUCUGUCGUGUACACAGAGCCCCAUAGCCUGCAUGAAGGCCCACGCCAGUCCCCAGGUUAGCACUGGUGUGCUGCUGACUGGCAAGGGGGUGUGACCUGAGGCACGCGACAUCUUCUUUCCCAAGGCAGCUUGCCAGUCACAUCCCACCAGCUUCCCCCACACACUUCCUCCUUCGUGGCUGUCCCUGAGCCGAGAGGCUGAGCCCUGGGGAGCCCCAUGUCCCGAGCGCUGCACAAGCUUGCUUUCUGGUUGCAUUGGAUCCAGGCAGCCACAGCCAGCCAGAGGCUGAAGGACAGGCUGAGAGUGGCCACGGCAGGUGCUAGCAAAGUCUUAAGAAUCAGCUUUCAGGGCCAGCAAGGUGGCAAAGGUGGCAAAGGUGCCUGUGGCCAAACCCGAGGCCCUGAGUUCAAUCCCUGGAAGCCAAUGGCAGAAGGAGAGAAUGGGCUCCUACAAGCUGUCCUCUGACUCACACACACAUGCCAUUCUGCAGUAAUUAAUAAAAAUCAGUAAGAAGGGUAGAAAAGCAAGACCUGGCUUCUGGGGUGUUGAAGACAGCUGUACGGUGUGCGGCUUCCCGUGGAGUAACAGCCACCUUACUGCCGAGUUACGUGACCAGAGUAGCACCUGGGGCUUCUGAAGGGCACAGUAGAACAGAGAUUCCGUGCACUCAAAAGACAGAGCCCUGAGAGACCAGGAGACUCCAGGUGGGGGGAAAAGGGGUGGGACCCAUCGUUAAUGUUUAGUUUGUGCAUUUAACCUUUAAUAGCAGGCGUAUGUAACAACUGACUCAAGAAGACUCCUGGACACUUUACAAUGGGACCUGGAUGCCGGGCCUGAACAAGCUGGCUGUCCCCAGAGCUCAUGACAUUUGAUCUUCAACCCAAGGACAGCCCAUGCUUCCUGUGGUUGCUGUCUUUUGGUUUGUCGGUGCCUCUGUCCCCUGUUGGGCUCCUUGGAGGGAGCUUGCUUGCAAGCAGACGGAUGGAAGCCCACCUGACCUGUCUAGCUGUGGCCACUUCCUCCUUCCCAGCUCAGCCUUUGCUGUGAGAGCUCGGAGUGAAUGCCUUUGAGACCAAACAACAGGAAACCACGAAGCAGGGGUACAUUGGAGGUGUGAGGCCAGGAACAGGAGCACACCAGGAUGAAGGAGCACACCAGGAUGAAGGAGCACACCAGGAUGAAGGAGCACACCAGGAUGAAGGAGCACACCAGGAUGAAGGAGCACACCAGGAUGAAGGAGCACACCAGGAUGAAGGAGCACACCAGGAUGAAGGAGCACAGGCCCUACUUGUCAAGCCUGCUGACUUGGGCUGCUCAGGCUUCUGGUCUUUCAGCCCGGACAGGGGGUAACUGUUCUCUGGGGAUGGAGCUGUGAACGAGGCAAGAACUCAGUUCACAACAGAGCCAACAGAACUCAGAGAGGCACGAGGCACCAGCCCAAGUACUGCCUAAGAAAGAGGGAUGGGGACCCAGGUGGUGCCGAGCUGCGGUGGUCCUUCGGGUGCUAUAAACGCUCAGAUCACCCCGUCUCCUGUAACUCCACGUCUGUGCUCCCAAGAGGAAGAGCAUCAAGCUCAGUGCUCCGUGAGGCUGGAUGUGGAUGGAUUCUGUCUGGUCCUCUCCGGCCUGGGGGGACAUCAGAGCACAGGCUGGUGAGCCGGCCCUGUGGGUGAAGACAGUUCACCUACCCGAUGGCCUGAACUGACUUCCACAGGUGUCCUCCGAUCUGACUGCUACCCCUGUGCUCUGUCUGCAUCCUCUCCUGGUAACUAAAACUAUCAUUAAAACCCUUUUAAAAGCUGUCAUCGUUUUCUAAUGGCAGAAGACACUGAUUUUCUCAUCUAGAGGUUAGGAAAAAAAUGGCUUUCUUAUGAGACUGGCUUUCUUCUUCAUCUGAAUCCUGCUAUCUAAGGAGCACACUGUUCAGUAGCCUGUGUGUGUGUGCUCUCCCCCUGAAUACGUAUCCGUUACGACCUCUCACUAGUUCUUCCCUGGGGAAGAUCAAGAUGAAGACAACCCAUUCACCCCCACACCAAGUACUACUUUGGCUAUCCAGCCCACGCAGCUCUAGGUUUCACACCACGCAUAGGAUAAGAAUAUUAAGCUGGAUGACCUCUGCUCUUGUAUGCAUACAAGAUAGAUAGAUCUCAUGUGGAAUACAUGAACAUCUGCUCUAGAUGUUAUUGAAGGACCAGCUGCAUCUGAGCUCUAUUUUAUUGGAAGGCUAGCACAGGAAAGACGGGCUCUUUCUAUCACAAAAGCUAUUGGACAUUUCAAAGAGCAAGGUUAAACCGUUCAAGAACACUGACCGCAAGUUGAUAGAAGCCUGUCGCUGGCUAACUGACAUUAAAUAGGUUAAAAGUAAUGUUUCUUCCUACAAAUUUCUCCUGUAGGUGAGGUCAUGGCCCAGCUAGGAUGUGCUGGAAAAUGUGCAUAGAAGGGUAGGCAGCAAGCAAGCAGAUCAGGGCUCACAGGAUGGCUCAGCCGAGGCUCGCCGCCUGGUUUCUAUCCCUGGGAGCCACAUAGAAGGAGACAAGUGACUUCUGCAAGUUGUCCUCUGACCUCACAAAUGCCAUGGCAUCUGAGUGUCCCCACACAUGCAUAGAUGGAAAAAUACAUAAAGGACAAAGCACACCAAUCACGGAAGCAAAUGGAAGAUAUGAAUCGCUCUGAAAAGUCUUGCUCCUGAUCUAUUCAAAACAAAACAAAACAAAACAAAAGAUUCCCUGGAAAAUUAAUGCAACAGGACCCACGGCAGAAUUCAAAUAAAAUACAUUCUAGUCUCUCUCCCUUAAAACCACAAAGCUGCAAACCUGGGCUGCACUGUGACGUAUAUCCACAGGUUGCAAGAUUCACAGAUAGUGGACAUGGCUUUGUCCAAAGGCUCCUUGGAGGCCAGUGAGCUCUGGCUGAGAUAAAGCAUAGGCACACAGCUGGGACACCCUGCUCUGCUCUGUAUCUUCUGGGCUUCUGCCAAGGGUCCUGCUGGCCAUAGGUGUAUUUCCUCUUGAGCCAGCCUAGGAUUCACUCCAAGCCUCCUGCUCAGAAGCACUCGGGGGUCUGCCUCGGUUGGCAGCAGCACGACCUUGGCUUUAGCCUUUGUUUCACAAACUGUAAAAUGCGGGAGCUGCUCAGGCUUGGCCAACCUUGGUGCGAUGCUUCGUAUGUUUUCUAAUGCGUGUACUCACGCUGCCCUUGUAGCUGUGCAGUGACACAUCAUGUGUGCAUGUGGCGGCCAGAAGCUGACGAGCAUCUUUCACUGUCCCUCCACCUUAUCUUCUGAGGUCUCUCUGAACUUACUGACUGGAUAGGCAGCUGACUGGUGAGCUACAGGGAAUCCUGGGGUCUCUGCCUGCCCAGUGCUAGGGUUAUAGGUGUGUGUCAUCAGGCCUCACUUUUAUGUGGGCCAUGGGGGUCCAAAUUCAGGUCCACAUGUCUACAUGGCAGGCACUUUAGCCAUGGAGCCAAAUUUUCUAUCCCCUCACCCUUUUCUGAGAGAAAAAGCAACAAGAACUUAUUAAUACCAUUGCUUUCAGUCACCUGGUUUUCAGUCUUGGAUUACAUUCAAGGACAUGAAAUACUUAAUCCUUACGCUCAGAGGUGAUGUGAAAACUCUAACAGUGACUACCCAAGGCUGAUGCCAGGCACCUGGCCACCAGUGCGUUUGGAUUUGGGUCUGUGAUCCUGGAUCAGGCCUGAACAUCAGUUCAGUCAACCUGAAUGAGAUCCACGGAAGGGAGAGGGGAGGGACCCUCUGAACCCGUAGAGAGCCACUGUUGGGAAAGCCGACCAGCGCUGGGAGAGCCAAGGAGCUUUGGGAGGAGGGAGAGUGGCAGCUCCAUGUCCCCAGCUCUGUAUCCCUAGCUCUAUGAACCCCUAGUUUCUGUUCUUCCACAGUUCUGCGGUCCCUGUGAGCUCCACGCCCUCCCCAGCUCCGAAUCCCUCUCCAGCUCUGUGCCUCUCACUAGCUCAGUGUUCUGGAAACCUGGAGUUGGUCUGUGUGGGCCGAUGUGGGUCUGGGUAGAUGGUUUUCGCCGGCGAGGGAGAAGCUCCUAACCAAACCCCACUCCUACGCACCCUUUGGAGAAGGCACUCGAGUCGCAGCAGUGCCACCUGGUGGCGGUGAGGAGGACAGCACCUACUAUGAUCAGGUAGCCUGGGAAGGGGCCAGAGCUGUCUACCACAGGGGCUGUGUUCAUUCCAUCCCCGUCUUCCCACCAACCCUCAUUUCAUUUAGAUCCCCUAAAGCCCUGGGGUGGGGGGCACGCCAGGAACAUCACUCAGGAUGGAAGUGGACAUUUUCCACCACAAAAUGUCUGCAGAUGUGGGAAGUGGCCCAGUGACCAAGAAGGGAAGUGUGAUUACUGAGAAGUGCUUUAGAAUCAGCAAGAGCUUCCUGUGACAGGUCUCAGUAAGGACCAGAGCUCCACCCGGGGCCCUCCAAGGUUAAGGUUAGGGCCAUGGUGGGAUGUGAACAGGUCGGAAGAAUACACACCAAAGGGAAGCUGAGGUUUGGGCAGUGACUGGAGGGCUGGCGGCAGGUUGAGGACACGGUGGAAGGGCUCGAGGGACACACUGUGAAGGGUGGUCAGCAAGCUGAUGCAGACAGUAGUUAGGCAGCAUGAGGGUGCCCUGCAGAGCAGAUGCAGAGAAGAUGCCCCACUCCCAGCUGCUCCCAAGGGCCCGCUGCAGCAGGGCCUGCUCUUUGGCUGAGUGUUUCUGUAAGCUGAAGCUAAACCAAGAUAGCCACACAGUGCUAAAGACUUAACAAUGCGGAGCAACAGCACCUCCUGACUGUGGAAAGCUGGAACAUCGCAGAUCAGAGGCAAACCGUCCUUGCCUUUAAUCUGACUGCAGCAUGUUCAAUGCAGUUCCUAGGUUUGACCUAGUAACCUUGUGACUAUCCAAACCUUUAACAUGUAUUAAGAAAUAUCAUUACAUUUUCAUUUUUUAUUUGUGUGUGUGCUCUGACACAUAUGUGGAGGUCAGGGGACAAUGUGUGGGAGCAGAUUCUAUUAGGUAGGUCCUAGACGCAGGUUCUGAUAACCUCGGUGCCUGGAGUUGUUGUCUUGCCCUAAAUGCUUUAUAACUACCAGUUCCCACUGAUCAAGAAGGCAAGAAUGGUUUCAGCACCCGGACCACUCUCAUCAGGUUUCCUGCAUUGCUGGAGUGUGUUUGGCAAGUUGCUUUAUGACUUAGCUCUAUAAUAAAUUCACAUACGAACACUUUCAGGGCGGUGGUGUAUUCAGGGCAACCUGAGGCCAUGUCCCUUGGGCCAUAGACACAUCUGGCUCAAGUAUAAACAGUCUUUAAUUCUCGCCUUUGAGGUGAAAGCUGUUUUCUGUUGACAUUUCUACCUAGGCCAGGGUUGAGCCUGGGAUCAUAGAGUCCAGUCAACCUAGGGAGGCCACCCUGGGAAGUUCUAGAAGAUGCUAUCAGGAAAGACAGGGGACAAGCAUGUCCAACCGAGAGUAGCACUGUUCCUGCUGAUGUGUGAUAUGCUCACAGAUGUGCGUGUACAAAUGUGGAUGCACACACGGAUAUACUUACUACAUGUGCUCCAGGUCACAAGCAUACCUGCCAAUGCAACCCAAGUGUAGCCAAGCCCUUCUCACAGCUGUGUGGACAUGCGGAGACACACACUGCCACAUAUACAUACACACAUAGCCACACACACAGCCACACACACAUAUAUACACACACACAUACAUAACCACACACAGCCACAUCCACCUCUCCCCUGCUCUUUAUCCUGCACCUAUGAUUUCAUCCACUGUCCCUGGUGGGCUGGCUGGGGAACAUGACACCACAAACACAUCAGAGCAGAGCUGAGCCUUGCUGGGACGCUAAUCUUGAAGAAAAGUACACAGUGAAGUAGACUUAAAGGUGUACAGUGAACAAUCAUGUUUAAUGCUUACAGAACAAAUCUGUUCUUUACCGUUCAGUUCAUUAUGAACUGGGAUCUCAUUUAAACCCUGUAAGCCAACUCUGGCCUCAAGCAGCAGCAGCAUCCCUGAGGUGCCAAACACACCCUGUGCACGGCACAAACUCUCUCUAGUCUGAGCUUUAAGCUGCGGUAUUAGCCACAGUACAGAUCUUAGUCCUCUCCCAAAUAGAGAGAACAUGACUGUCAGCUCUUCAUACUCCAAAAGGUCUGUGCUCUGGGCUGUGUCCUGGGUGGCCUGUGGUGGCAUCUGUAGAGCUUUCUGAAGGCACAGGCUGUGGGGGAGCAGCACAGUGGGAUCCCCGGAACCCCAGCACCCAGUCCGCCACCGCCUCCUAGCAGUGAGUGGGCCACCACAGUGACAGCCAAGGUGUGGCCUCCUGAGUGCCUGCUGAGGUCAGAGGACAGCACCGCUGUGGCCUCCCUGAAAAGGAUUCUGUGGUAAGUAAGCCUGGCCCAUCAGAACACAGCCUCCUUUCUAAGAAGGGGCCCAAGCUUUGGGAAGGCUGUCCCUAGAGUUUGCUGUUGUUCUGGAACUGGGCUACCAGGCUGAGGAUCUGCUCGGAAGCUUUGAUGUUCUUGGAGCCCAGGUAGGAGAUACUGUUGGGGCCUGUCUCCUCCAGGUAGUAGCGGUAGUUGACCAUGAGGCCGCAUGAGCUGGUGAGGCCUUUGAGGCUGCUGUCAGCCAUCCAGUUGAUACGCCACAUCACAGCCCCAUUCUGCAGAUGGAAGUUGGCCACUGGGUUGAGGGCGUAGCCUCGGUGCUUCUCACCGUACAGGUACCAGGCACACAGCCUCAUUAGUGGCCCCUGCAGCGCCUGCGUCAGCUUCUCUGACUUCACCCACUCACCACUGCUCAGGAACCCCUUGAGGCUCUCGUGAACAGGGUUGCCGGUAACCGCUGAGAUUUCUUGGCACUCUGAGUCUGUGAAUAGUUCGUUCCUCCCAUGCUCCUUCCCCUGCACAUUCAGGAGGCCCAGCAGCCACUUGGUGAAUCCAGGGAUAGGCGACAGGCUUGAAAAGGCCCCCAGCUGAGGAAAUUCCUUCUGCAGCUCCUUGACCACUCUCUUUAUGAGGAAGGUCCCGAGCUCCACCCCCUGCAGGCCCUGCUGGGUCAGGCUGAUGGAGUAGAAGAUGGCAGCGGCGAUCCUGUUCCUCUCCUCGGUUUCAGUCGGAGGGCACUCCUUCACAAUGCCCUAGAAAACACCAACAGCGACAUCAGAAAGGCUCCAUGUGCACUGCUCACACUGAGGGCCACCUUGUCACAUUCACAGGACAAGUCCCUUGGCACCAAAGUACUGCAGGAGAAUUGAGUCCCUGCUCCUAUGCUCCUGGUUGCUCAGGUUCAGGCCAUCUGUUCUGAAUACUCUGGAGGUGACCAUCUCACUCUCUCUGCCUACCAUCUGGAGACGCCAUGUCAGCUCUGCUCAACAGCAGCACCUUUGGUCUUUGCAGGCAGCGCCGGGGUAAGCUGCUUUGUACUCUGAGCCUCUGUCAAGGGUAAUGGCUACACGGGCUUUCUUUAAGAGCCCAGUCCCCUGCCCACUGCUAUCUACGCCUUUGCUCAGCUUGCAUUUCUGUUCUAGAAGGCCACAGGCAGUCCUUUCUCAAAAUGUACCCUUUAAAGGAUUUUCUGUGCUCUUUAGCCUCAUGCGGCAUCCUUAUUUUUCCUAGUGAAAACCUAUUCACAGACACCUCCACAAGCAAGCUAAGAAAUGAGUUCUGCUGUGAGUAUCUCAGUGGCACCAACUUCAUUGGCUCCCAGUUUUUACUACAUGUGUGGUGGGUUUUUUUUUUUCCUGUUUUGUUUUGUUUGAGACAGGGCUUUUCCUGUAGCCCACCCUGUCCUGGGACUCUCUUUGUAGACCAGGCUGGACUUGAACUCACAGAGCCCUGCCCCUGCUUCCGAGUGCUGGAGUUAAAGGAGCGUGCUACCACUGCCCAGGUCACCAAGGAGUUUUAAGCUGAGUCUCUGAAGACUGCUGGGGACAGCAUACCAUGACACAGAUGGCGUCUGGGACCCUGAGAAGUAGGAGACACAUCUUUCCAGGGGACCCGCCAUCAGAAAUAAGGAACUACCCGCAGCAGGCCUAGAUAGUGACAUCUCAGAAGCCCUCAGGCAAUUCAUUUGUAAAAAUGUCGUUCUUAUUUCUCCUAAUGUUAGCCCUGGACCCUGGCUGCAUAGAUUUCAUUUGUGUGUGACUGUCA